rnacentral:rRNA from 2 species
ACGGAAGGCAGCAGUAGGGAAUUAUUGGCAAUGGGGGAAACCCUGACCAUGCAAUGGUGCGUGAACGAUGAAGGUCUUUGGAUUGUAAAGUUCUUUUAUUUGGGAAGAAUGUAUAGUGUAGGUAAUGACAUUAUAUUGACGGUACCUUUUGAAUAAGCCUCGGCCAAAUAUGUGCCAGCAGCCGCGGUAAUACAUAUGAGGCAAGCGUUAUCCGGAAUUAUUGGGCGUAAAGAGUGCGUAGGCGGUUUGUUAAGUCGGAUGUGAAAUACUGGGGCUAAGCCCCAGUCUGCACCCGAAACUGGCAGACUAGAGUACGGUAGAGGUAAGUGGAAUUCCAUGUGUAGUGGUAAAAUGCGUAGAUAUAUGGAGGAACACCAGAGGCGAAGGCGGCUUACUAGGCCGGCACUGACGCUAAUGCACGAAAGCGUGGGUAGCAAACAGGAUUAGAUACCCUGGUA